CUGCCAUAUCUCACCUGUCCUUCUCCUAUUCCAGGCUCGCUCUGGACCUACAGACUUCCUGCACCUCCCACAGAGCUCCCAAUACCUUAGUGCACUUCCUACCACCCUCCAAUCUAUUCCUCAUUCACAGUUCCCUUUAAAACAAAUAUACAUAUCUUAAUUCAAGGAGCAAAACAGCCUAGGUCCAGUGAGGAGGGGACCAAAACACUAACCCUCCCCACUUCAGCCCUUUGUCAAGAGAAGGAAAGUCCCACCUUGGCCCCUCAGGCCCUAGGUAACUGGGUAUGCAUGGGUCCCCCCAAGUCAGGUAAAGGAGAACUGGUGGGGAAGGGGAAGCAUACUUCUCUGCCAUCCGGUGCAGGGUCUUGAGCGAAGCUCGCAUUUCCUCCUCAGCCAGCCCCACCAGCAGCCCAUUGUCCUC
rnacentral:lncRNA from 1 species